GAUGAACGCUAGCUACAGGCUUAACACAUGCAAGUCGAGGGGCAGCAUGAACUUAGCUUGCUAAGUUUGAUGGCGACCGGCGCACGGGUGAGUAACACGUAUCCAACCUUCCGUUUACUCAGGGAUAGCCUUUCGAAAGAAAGAUUAAUACCUGAUAGUAUGGUGAGAUUGCAUGAUAACACCAUUAAAGAUUUAUUGGUAAACGAUGGGGAUGCGUUCCAUUAGGUAGUAGGCGGGGUAACGGCCCACCUAGCCUGCGAUGGAUAGGGGUUCUGAGAGGAAGGUCCCCCACAUUGGAACUGAGACACGGUCCAAACUCCUACGGGGAGGCAGCAGUGAGGAAUAUUGGUCAAUGGGCGAGAGCCUGAACCAGCCAAGUAGCGUGAAGGNUGAAGGUCCUACGGAUUGUAAACUUCUUUUAUACGGGAAUAAAGUUUCCUACGUGUAGGAUUUUGUAUGUACCGUAUGAAUAAGCAUCGGCUAACUCCGUGCCAGCAGCCGCGGU
rnacentral:rRNA from 1 species